rnacentral:rRNA from 1 species
AUUGAACGCUGGCGGCAGGCUUAACACAUGCAAGUCGAGCGAGCGGCGGACGGGUGAGUAAUGUCUGGGAAACUGCCUGAUGGAGGGGGAUAACUACUGGAAACGGUAGCUCAUACCGCAUACCAUCAGAUGUGCCCAUAUGGGAUUAGCUAGUAGGUGGGGUAAUGGCUCACCUAGGCGACGAUCCCUAGCUGGUCUGAGAGGAGGACACGCCACACGGGAACUGCGACACGGUCCAGACUACUACGGGAGGCAGCAGUGGGGAAUAUUGCAAAAUGGGAGCAAGCCGGAUGCAGCCAUGCCGCGUGUGUGAAGAAGGCCGUCGGGUUGUAAAGCACUUUCAGCGAGGAGGCGUUACUCGCAGAAGAAGCACCGGCUAACUCCGUGCCAGCAGCCGCGGUAAUAC